GUCCCAACUUCAUUGGAAUCGGGGUUGUAGUUUGAAAGUAACUUAGUUACUUCACAGAUUACUUGAGCGCUGGGUUUGGGAUUGUCGUUCCAUCAGUAAAGUAACAGAGGUAAUUUUUCAAGGUAACUGGCAACACUGAGUUUCCGAACGUUCUGGAGAGCAGAGAGCGUGUUCUUGAGUAAAUUUCCCAACGUACCUUGUGUCGCGGUAUUGUGCGAUUGUUGUUCUGCGCAACUAAGUGUAAUCUAUGCAGAUGUGUACGUAUAAUGCUACUAUAUGUUUGUGAGAAGAGCUGUGUGUGUAUCUGUAAAGGAAUGUGGCAAGCAAAACGUGGACGCCGUGUCGCGUAACCCUCUCGGGUCACCUCACGAACUACGUAGCCGAUAUGUAGACCCCCACCCCCGCCCCCCACGGUGAGACGGUUGGAAAACCUAACAAUACGUGCUGAAUAGACAGCUGGGGACUAAAGGUCCGCGAGGGCCGUGCAAAAGAUGACUGGACCGAGGUCCUCGGACCCCCCACAUAUGCAACGAGCGACCUAAACAAUAAACUGUCCCUGCGACAGCGGCACCGUGUGUUAACAGUAGCGACAGCGUGAAAUGGAGACCACGCACAGAGAUCCUGCGCGCAGCGGUUAAAGGUCACGUGCGGUAAGACGAGAGGUGGCUGCUAAAAAAAGAAAGGGGCCGCUCGCUGGCAGAACACGGACGGCUCGUCGCGGCUCUGCAAAGGGGAAACGUCGUUCUGCGAAAUGAUCUCGGCCCCCGGCAUCAGCCGGUGGGCGGGGCCCAUCGUCGACGGGGCCCAUCGUCGCUGCUGGACUACGUGGGUCACGUGCGCCUCUGCUCUCGCCUGCUCGACCGCUUGGACAGUUUCGACGACUGGAGCGUCAUUAAAGACAAAGCCGCUGUGUCGCGUGCGCGUCGUGCAGGUGGUCGGACGGCGGCGCUUGAAGAGUUUGCCGCUCCCCGCGGGCCUCGUCCGCUUCCUGCAGCACCGGGAAGCUUCUGUGGAUUUCUGAACGCGGAUCCGUUCGGGAGUCCAAAGCGAACACGCGCGGCUCGACGUCGACGGCCAACGCGUCGUCGUGCGACCUUUCACCCCGGCUCUGCCAAAGCGGGCACGUAGGAAGUUCGGCGGCGCCUUGAGAUUACGUUUUUGGAGAUACGAGCAGCUCAUACGCCCACCCAAAACAUCAGAAACUUACUGCAAGCGGUUUUCUCAAUUUAGAAGGGGCCUGGAAUCUCCACGUUUGAGCAGACAGUGCCGGACAAAUAAUACAAUGCAUGAAAGCUGUUGUUUUUGUCGCCUUCUCUGGCAACGACGACCUUCCCAACAUGGCGCCACGUAGCCACGUCGAGUAGCCGUUCUGGCGCAUCUCGUUUUUAUAGCUACGCCCGCGAAGCCCGAUAGAAGAACCCCGGUCCUCAGAACUGUGGGGCAGAUGUGCUGACCGGUCGUCCCCCACCAGCUGCCAUAAUUAUCAAAAUCGGAACGAAUAAAGGCUUGAAAUAUUUCACUGUGUGUGUGUGGUGAACUAAUAUAACAUAGA